AUUGAACGCUGGCGGCAUGCCUUACACAUGCAAGUCGAACGGCAGCGGGGGAGAAGCUUGCUUUUCCUGCCGGCGAGUGGCGAACGGGUGAGUAAUACAUCGGAACGUGCCCUGUAGUGGGGGAUAACUAGUCGAAAGAUUAGCUAAUACCGCAUACGACCUGAGGGUGAAAGUGGGGGACCGCAAGGCCUCAUGCUAUAGGAGCGGCCGAUGUCUGAUUAGCUAGUUGGUGGGGUAAAGGCCUACCAAGGCGACGAUCAGUAGCUGGUAUGAGAAGACGAUCAGCCACACUGGGACUGAGACACGGCCCAGACUCCUACGGGAGGCAGCAGUGGGGAAUUUUGGACGAUGGGCGAAAGCCUGAUCCAGCAAUGCCGCGUGUGUGAAGAAGGCCUUCGGGUUGUAAAGCCCUUUUGUCCGGAAAGAAAUGGCUCUGGUUAAUACCUGGGGUCGAUGACGGUACCGGAAGAAUAAGGACCGGCUAACUACGUGCCAGCCGCCGCCAUAA
rnacentral:rRNA from 1 species